GACGAACGCUGGCGGCGUGCCUAAUACAUGCAAGUCGAGCGGAUCUUUGGGAGCUUGCUCCUAAAGGUUAGCGGCGGACGGGUGAGUAACACGUGGGCAACCUGCCUAUAAGACUGGGAUAACUUCGGGAAACCGGAGCUAAUACCGGAUAAUUCUUUUCCUCUCAUGAGGAAAAGCUGAAAGACGGUUUCGGCUGUCACUUAUAGAUGGGCCCGCGGCGCAUUAGCUAGUUGGUGAGGUAACGGCUCACCAAGGCAACGAUGCGUAGCCGACCUGAGAGGGUGAUCGGCCACACUGGGACUGAGACACGGCCCAGACUCCUACGGGAGGCUG
rnacentral:rRNA from 1 species